rnacentral:misc_RNA from 1 species
GAUGAAGAACGUAGUGAAAUGCGAUAAGUAGUGUGAAUUGCAGAAUUCAGUGAAUCAUCGAAUCUUUGAACGCACAUUGCGCCCCUCGGUAUUCCGUGGGGCAUGCCUGUUCGAGCGUCAUUUGUACCUUCAAGCUUUGCUUGGUGUUGGGUGUUUGUCCCUCGGGACUCGCCUUAAAGUCAUUGGCAGCCAGUGUUUUGGUUUUGAAGCGCAGCACAAGUCGCGAUUCAAGGCUAUCCGCCCGCUUCCACAAGCCUUUUUCACUUUUGACCUCGGAUCAGGUAGGGAUACCCGCUGAACUUAAGCAUAUCAAUAAGCGGAGGA